CUCAAACUCUGCAUUGUGUAUUUAUCUUUAAAAUAUUCUUACAUUAAGGAAAGAUUUUAAUGUAGAAAACUGAUCUGAGAGCAGCGCUCCCUUUCUUUCCAUCCUAUCAGUAUUGAUACAUGCUCCACCAGAUGUGAUACCUUGUAGUGCUGCUGAUCCAGUUUCUACUGGUCUGACUGAGGAUAUGGAACUCUGCCCUGUUCACCAGACGUGAUACCUUGUAGUGCUGCUGAUCCACUUUCUACUGGUCUGACUGAGGAUAUGGAACUCUGCCCUGUUCACCAGACGUGAUACCUUUUGUGCUGCUGAUCCACUUUCUACUGGUCUGACUGAGGAUAUGGAACCCUGAACUGCUCACCGGACGUGUUACCUUGUCCCGAACCUGCUGUUUCGCUCUGUCUGUCUGUCUGUCUGUCUGUCUGUCUGUCUGUCUGUCUGUCUGUCUGUCUGUCUGUCUGUCUGUCUGUCUGUCUGUCUGUCUGUCUGUCUGUCUGUCUGUCUGUCUGUCUGUCUGUCUGUCUGUCUGUCUGUCUGUCUGUCUGUCUGUCUGUCUGUCUGUCUGUCUGUCUGUCUGUCUGUCUGUCUGUCUGUCUGUCUGUCUGUCUGUCUGUCUGUCUGUACCUACCACACCGGCUGUCUCGGCUAUGAAAAGCCAACUGACAUUUUCUCCUGAGGUGCUGACCUGUUGAACCCUCUACAACCACUGUGAUUAUUGUUUUACCCUGCUAGUCAUGUAUGAACAUUUUAACAUCUUGAAGAAUGAUCUGAACUUCAUGGCCAUGUACUCUUAUAAUCUCCCCCCAGCGCAGCCAGAAGAGGACUGGCCACCACUCAGAGCCUGGUUCCUUUCUAGGUUUCUUCCUAGGUUCCUUCCUUUCUGAGGAGUUUUAACUAGCCACCGUGCUUGUACAUCCGAACAUGUGCUGUUUGGCAUGAUACGAUCGUUAGACCCAAUGACGCGUUUCUGCCAAUGAGAAUCAAAUAAAAUAAAAAUGUAUUUUUCACAUGCGCUGAAUACAACAGGUGUACACUUUACCUUGAAAUGCUAACGAGCCCUUUCCCAACAAUGCAGUUUAAAAGUAAGAAAAAAAAUCUAAAAAAAGGAAAUAGUAACACAAUAAAAUAACAAUAAUGAGACUAUAAGGAGUACCAGUACUGAGUCAAUGUGCAGGGGUACCAGGUAGUUCAGAUAAUAAUGAGACUAUAAGGAGUACCAGUACUGAGUCAAUGUGCAGGGGUACCAGGUAGUUGAGGUAAUAGCACACACACACACACACACACACAGGGAGGGAGUCUUGUGAUUGUUUAAUAUUGUUUUAGGACUAUGAAAUGGAUAAAAGGAAAAGCCUAUGGAUUAUGAAAUCAACAAAAAUAAAUGUGAAAAUGGGAGAGGAGAAAUUACUAGAAACAGUGUUGUUUAACUCAGUGACCAUGACCCAUGAGUUCUUCUUACCUUUGUUCAGUAGAAAAGUCUCCCUCUCUAAACUUUAUAGGUUGACCCAUGGACUGGUCACUCUUCAUGGACACACAGCUGGGAACAGGGGAGGCUGAUCUCUCCUGCUUGAUUGGACUUCAACACAACAGAGACAAACAUUAUAUCUCCCAUCUACUCGAGCUCAGAUGGGGAAACAUAAGAUGAGAUUCAUUCCAAAAUGCUGUAUAUCCAUUUUCAGAAAUGUUGGUAAAUUAGCUUUUAUGUUUAACUUCUUACGGCUGGGUGGCAGUAUUGAGUUGCUUGGAUGAAUAAGGUGCCCAGAGUAAACUGCCUGCUACUCAGGCCCAGAAGCUAAGAUAUGCAUAUUAUUAGUAGAUUUGGAUAGAAAACACUCUGAAGUUUCUAAAACUGUUUGAAUGAUGUCUGUGAGUAUAACAGAACUCAUAUGGCAGGCAAAAACCUGAGAAAAACAUCCAACCAGGAUGUGGGAAAUCUGAGGUUUGUAGUUUUUCAAGUCUUGGCCUAUCCAAUAUACAGUGUCUGUGGGGUCAUAUUGCACUUCCUAAGGCUUCCACUAGAUGUCAACAGUCAUUAGACCUUGUUUGAGGCUUCUGCUAUGCAAUUUGAUUGAAUAACACCCGGAACAGUAAGUGGUCUGGCUGGGGUCACUUACUUACCUCAUGCACGGUCACGAAGGGGUAGCCAUUUUUCUUUUUCUUCUGUAAUGAAUACGCAAUUGUCCGGGUGGAAUAUUAUCAAAGUUUUACGUUAAAAACACACUAAAGAAUGAUUGUGAACAUGGUUUGACAUGUUUCUACGUAUGCUGAGGGAACUUGAUAACUUUUCGUCGACGGUGGAUGAACGCGCAUCAUGCAUUUUGGAAUGGCGAUCUGGAUGCGCCAACAAAAUGGAUUUAUUUGGACAUAAAUGAUGGACUUUAUCGAAUAAAUGAACAUUUCUUGUGGAAGUUGGAGUCCUUCCGAGUGCAUUCCGCCGAAGAUCAGCAAAGGUAAGAAAAUAUUUGUAUUAUAUUUUAGAGUUUUGUCGACGCCGUGGCUGGAUGGGUAACUGAACAGCUUGCAAUGAUGGCGGGGCUCUCUACUCAGAAUAUUGAACAAUGUUCUUUCUCUGUAAAGUUAUUUUGAAAUCUGACAAAGCGGUUGCAUAGUAGUUUAUCGUUAAUUCUUAAAAUAAUUGUUAUAUAUUUUGUCAAUGUUUAUGAUAAGUAUUUCUGUAAAUUGAUGUGCCCAUUCACCGGAUGUUUUGGGGGGAAUACAUUUUCUGAACGUCAAUGUAAAAUGGGGUUUUUGGAUAUAAAUAUGAACUUGAUAGAACAAAAAAUGCAUGUAUUGUCUAACAUAAUAUCCUAGGAGUGUCAUCUGAUGAAGAUCGUCAAAGGUUAGUGCAUAAUUUUAGCUAGUUUUCUGCUUUUGGUGACGCCUGUCCUUGCAUUGAACAUGGCUGUGUGUCAUUUUUUGUCUAUGUACUGUCCUAACAUAAUCUAAUGUUUUGGUUUGAUUAACCUGUUAGGGCUAGGGGGCAGUAUUGACACGGCUGGAUAAAAAACGUACCCG
rnacentral:lncRNA from 1 species